GCCCUCGUAGCUCAAUUGGAUAGAGCGCUUGCUUGCGGAGCAAAAGGUUAGGCGUUCGAGUCGCCUCGGGGGCGCCA
rnacentral:tRNA from 1 species